rnacentral:rRNA from 1 species
UUCGCAAUGCCCGAAAGGGUGACGAAGCGACGCCGCGUGCGGGAAGAAGGCCUUCGGGUUGUAAACCGCUGUCGGGAGUUAAGAAAUGCAAGGGUGUUAACAGCGUCCUUGCUUGACUAAGGCUCCGGAGGAAGCCACGGCUAACUCUGUGCCAGCAGCCGCGGUAAUACAGAGGCGGCAAGCGUUGUUCGGAAUUAUUGGGCGUAAAGAGCACGUAGGCGGCUGUGUAAGUCGGUUGUGAAAGCCUUCCGCUCAACGGAAGAAGCGCAUCCGAUACUGCAUAGCUUGAGUGCGGGAGGGGAGAGUGGAACUUCUGGUGGAGCGGUGAAAUGCGUAGAUAUCAGAAGGAACGCCGGCGGCGAAAGCGACUUUCUGGCCCGCAACUGACGCUGAGUGUGCGAAAGCUAGGGGAGCAAACGGGAUUAGAUACCCCGGUAGUCCUAGCCGUAAACGAUGGGCACUAAGUAGAGGGGUUUU